rnacentral:rRNA from 2 species
UCUCCGUUGGUGACCAGCGGAGGGAUCAUU